rnacentral:lncRNA from 1 species
CCGGGAACCCCGAACAUCCCCUUUCUCUACUCUUUCCCUUUGGAGUCUAUAGAGGGAGAAGCAGAGCCUAAGGCUUCAUCAGUUUGAAUACUGGCUGGGGCUGGGCAAGUUAGUGGCUCAAAGUGUUGAAUCUGUCCCUAAAGCAGGGACAGAAAUGGAGGCUCAGGAGGUAGAGGUGGCAGUGGGCGUGCAGGAGAAGCUGUAGGUCAGGAGGUAGAGGUGGCAGUGGGCGUGCAGGAGAAGCUGAGGUCGGGAGGUAGAGGUGGCAGUGGGCGUGCAGGAGAAGCUGUAGGUCGGAAGGUAGAAGUGGCAGUGGGCGUGCAGGAGAAGCUGUAGGUCGGGAGGUAGAGGUGGCAGUGGGCGUGCAGGAGAAGCUGUAGGUCAGGGGGUAGAGGUGGCAGUGGGCGUGCAGGAGAAGUGUAGGUCAGGGGGUAGAGGUGGCAGUGGGCGUGCAGGAGAAGCUGUAGGUCGGGAGGUAGAGGUGGCAGUGGGCGUGCAGGAGAAGCUGUAGGUCAGGAGGCAGAGGUGGCAGUGGGCGUGCAGGAGAAGCUGUAGGUCGGAGAGGGUGCAGAGUGGAGAACAGAUGAGCUGGAGUCACACCAUGCCCUAUACCCAGCCAGAGGCCGAAGUGAGCCUGUCACGGUAAUGCCACUGCCUGCUUGAUUCCCUCCCAUGCCUAGCCUGGGUUCUUCAUGAUCCCUGAGGCCCUCUUUGAUGUCAUCCCGCUGCCUCAAAACCUGUGUGUGCUGGUGGCUCCCUCUGCUUUCCUUCCAGAUGACUCCUUCGCUUCAGCUCAAAUGUCACCUUUGGCUGUUAAAAUCCUUUCCGGAGGAAGUUGUAAACAAUGCCUACCCCUCCUCCCGAGGUCUCUGAUUCCACUCCAGGGAAGAUUGCUCUGGGGGAGCCAAUGAGUUUGUUGGGAUUACUUCCAGAGCAUAGGUGAGGGGUUAGUUACUUGAAUAUGAGUGCUGCCCACCAAAAGACCGCACUGAAAAGUCUUUACCCAGCAGGGGUGAUGGU